GAUGAACGCUGGCGGCGUGCCUAACACAUGCAAGUCGAACGAGAUGCGUAUCGGAAAGCUUCGGCCGGAAGAUACGUUAUCUAGUGGCGGACGGGUGAGUAACACGUGGGUAACCUGCCUUAUGGAGGGGGAUAACAGAGAGAAAUCACUGCUAAUACCGCAUAAGCACACAUUGCCGCAUGGCAGAGUGUGAAAAGAUUUAUCGCCAUAAGAUGGACCCGCGUCUGAUUAGCCAGUUGGCAGGGUAAAAGCCUACCAAAGCAACGAUCAGUAGCCGAUCUGAGAGGAUGACCGGCCACAUUGGGACUGAGACACGGCCCAAACUCCUACGGGAGGCAGCAGUGGGGAAUAUUGCACAAUGGGGGAAACCCUGAUGCAGCGACGCCGCGUGAGUGAAGAAGUAUUUCGGUAUGUAAAGCUCUAUCAGCAGGGAAGAUAAUGACAGUACCUGACUAAGAAGCCCCGGCUAACUACGUGCCAGCAGCCGCGGUAAUACGUAGGGGGCAAGCGUUAUCCGGAUUUACUGGGUGUAAAGGGAGCGUAGACGGAGUGGCAAGUCUGAAGUGAAAACCCUGGGCUUAACCUGGGGACUGCUUUGGAAACUGUUAAUCUAGAGUGUUGGAGAGGUAAGUGGAAUUCCUGGUGUAGCGGUGAAAUGCGUAGAUAUCAGGAAGAACACCGGAGGCGAAGGCGGCUUACUAGACAUAACUGACGUUGAGGCUCGAAAGCGUGGGGAUCAAACAGG
rnacentral:rRNA from 1 species